GACAGAGAAUGAUAAAAAAGGACAACUCUAUGUGCCCACCACCAAAUGAAAUAAAAACAGUAAAACAUCAAAAACAAACGGUGAUUAUGGCUCUGUGUAUCAGCUAGGGUGACUUUUAUUCUUCUGAGAUCAGAAAGCUCUUGAAGGCUUCCUGGAGCUGGAAGGACCAAGAGUGGACAAGCUUAGUUGCAUAAGGGCCACGUGACUCCCUCACUCAGCUGCAUCCUUCCUUGGCAGCCACCGAGAGGACCAACUGUCAAUUGUUUCUAAGGAGAGCAUGGACAUAUAACCAGGGUGCUACCAGCAAAAGCUGUGAGCUGUAAGCUCUGUGACCCAGUGGCCUUCCUCGCCACAGGACCUGAAGCAUGGGGCCAGCUGAUCCUAAACUGGUACCUCCAAAACCAAGAGCCCAAACAACUCCUUCCUCUGACAUCAGGCUUUUUGUUCUAGGGUUGGAAAACAGAUUAGGUGAAAUUAUUUGUUGAAAACGUUCACAAUGCCAUCCCACAGUAUCUGUAACUCUACUUGCGACUCUCUCAGUGGAAAAGACCACCUCCUAGGAGCAGCUAUUUCACUGGGCAGUGGAAGGGCAUUGGAAGUGACCUGUGAUCUGCUUGGGAAGAAGUCUGGUGACAGAAGAAAGAGCAAAUUCUAUUGGACCAAGUCAGAACUGUCACGUGAUUACGGUAUUGCUACCCAGUAUCGUGAAAACGCCAGAUCUUUGCUUCCCUUAGUUCCUCCUCAGUGUGUGUCUUCAGAGGUAACCCGUGUGUUAUGUUUUUCUCUGCAUCAGCACUGGGACCAGGGUAAGGCAAACAAAACAUCAUGGGUGCAAGAUUUAAAGACCCUUUACCCUUACGGUAUGUAGUUCAUAGCCGACACCUCCACGAACCUGAGAUUGACAAUCUCCUUCAAGUGUGUGCUCUCUGGGCACCUGGCUUUGCCUUACUCUAGAUCUGACCAUGCUCUAGGUAUGUGUGUGUGUACUAAUAUGAUUAUCUUUCAAACUUGUAUGUAGUUGCUUAUAACUAUGACUUUCAAAAAACACAAUGAUUCAGAACCAUUUGUGUCAGCUCCUACAAAGCCAUCUCAAAUAUCACUCCCCUGCCAUGUGUGUGCAUGUGGAGGCCAGGGACCAAUAUUGGAUGCCUUCCUUUAUCUCCAGUCAUCUCUUUCCACUGUACUUUUUGAGACAGGCCUCUCUCUGAACCUGGAACUGACUGGCCAGUAAACUCUAGGGAAUCUUCCUGCCUCUGCUUUCCCAGCAGGUGCUUGCUGCGGAGCCUGCCUUUUUAGACAGUUGCUAGGGAGGGGACCCAAGGAGACAAUCUAGGACACAUAAUUACAGCUCAAGGGUAGAGUACUAGAAGAGACAGUGCUGGUAAAGGAGUGUGGUAGGUUUUGCGAGCCGUAAUCAGAGCACCCUUCAAAAGUUCUGCCCCAAUUCUUCUUCCCACUAGCAAUGCACAGGGAUAAAAUAGUAGAUAAUUUUACACCAGAAUGAGCCUCAGGAUGUCUUUAAAUAGCCAGCUUUCUCGGUACUUGUGAUCUUCCCAAAUUAGAUGCACACGCUGCUCUGCUAGCAAGCUGUUGCUGCACAAGUGCAAGCAUUCUGGCUGCAGCAUGCGGGCUGCCUUUGGGUCAGCUCUUUCCUUGUUGCGUGGUGCAGCUGGGUGGCGCUUGCACUGGUUUUCUCUACAGGUCUGCAGGGAGCUAGUGUUGGACACUGGAUCCAGGCCAUCUGUAAGCUUAUACCGUGGGUCAAUAUCUCAUAAUUGCUCCGUGUUCCCUCCAAAGACCGGAGCUGGGUCAUGGGUGUUCCAGGACACAGGAACAGCUGCUUCUCCAGUAUGAUAGAGUUUGCCGGUGUUCUGGUUCUUUCUGUUUUCCUUUUGUGGUUUUAGGUCAUGGAACCCAGGGCCGUGCACAUGCUAGAUAAAUGCUCUACCAUUGAGCUGUACUCCAGCCUUCAGUCUCUAAGCUUUUGAAGGAAGAGACUUGAGGGGGACAGUGGUAGUCUAGUAGGCAAGCAGGCAGGGUGCUGCCUUGGGGACCUCUUGAGCUCCUCCUCCUGAGAUUUCCCUGUCAAUACUGGAUAGGUGUCAAUUGAUCUUCACCCUACAUAUCAGGAGCUGGCCAGCCCUGGCCCCUGGCUCAAACUUGCCUGCAGCCUCCUUUCAUCACCAUGCCUGUUUGUCUGCAAAUGACCAUGGUUGCUCUGCACCUGCAGAGUAGCUGUGGUAGAGUGUGAGCUUCCCAGGCUGAAAUAGUUCUUGGCUGGGCCUAUAGUAGACCAAGUGCACCGACUGUCUCUGCAUUGCUUGAGAUGUCUUUUAAGUUUAUUUGCUCUUGUUUCCCUAUCUUAGUUUGUCACAUCUUGUCCAGAUGAGUACAGUAGCCGCCAGCUGGUUCUGAAAUGUGCAUGUAAGAAUGACAGGCUCUGGAAAACCUCUCCUUCUCUUACCGUCAGUGAAGGGGCCAACAUGCUGUCCAAGUCUGGAGCUGUCAGCAGCCACCUGCCCACUCUUGUUUACCUAUGCGCUUCAAAUACCCAGUGCUCCAGUUGCUACAAACUUUGGAGUGUCUUGAAUAUGUCACUUAGCUCCUCCUAACCAGUCCCCUUUGUCCUUGCUACUCUCUGGGCCAGGGAUCUUCCAUUUGUAGCAAGACAUAUUCACAUAUCUUCAUUAACAGGAACUUCCUUCCCUUUUGUACCUAGUAGCCACUUGGAAAAGGUCUCCAUUGUGGCGUUUGCAUAGCUCUGGUCCUAUUAAAUGCCUCUUUCCCCUUCUCCCCUACUGAUUUGAGAACAGUGGGGAGCAGAAAGCUUGUCUUACCCACCUCAGCAUCAACAGUGCCUGGUCCUCAAGAGCACUAGAGAUGUUUGUUGGAUGACAAGGCAUCAAUAUUCAUGAAACCCUUGGUUUAUUUUUUUAAUCUAUCAAUAGUUCCUCUCAAUCUGCUCUGUAGUUUUGUAUCAUGGGCACUGUUAAACCCACACUUUGCAGAUGUAGUAAUUGAGGGUACAAAGAAGUUAAAUCACCUGCCCAGGGUCUCAGAGAUUGCCAAGAUUUGAACUCAGCUUAUGGUGGACCGCAAGAGCUAACUCCCAUGUUAACAAUGAGCUGAUGGGUGUUUGAAAGAAUGAAUUCGUGAACAAUGCCAGCGAGUCUAUGAACUGAGGAGAGGAAAGGUAAAUGCCGUGUGACCUUAUGAAACCCAUCAGUGGAGUUUAUAAAAGAAAAACACAAAGAUUCCAGCAGACCUGGCAGGGCUGGAGACUAUGGGGGAUCGGCAGGCCACAGAGUUCAGGGAGAGUUUAAAGUGAGUGGAAAAUCAGACUGUCCCGGGAAUUGCCGGGAAUACUCGAAGAGGUGGCAGGUCCCAGUUAAACAAAUAAGGCUCUACCCUGGAGUGAAAACGUCAUCAGUCUCAACAUUUAUGGCAUGCCUACUGUAUACCCAGAGCUAUGCUAGCUCACUGAAUGAAAACUGUCUCCUCCUAAGCUCCUGAUUCACAGAGGUUUUGCUGUGCAUCUAUUAAAUGCCAAGACACUAAACUAGAAGCCAAGAGACCAAGUGGAUAAAACUUUGGGGGUUGCCAGCAUCACGGGAGGAGAGAGUAAUUCUAGCAGUGCACUCAGUGUUAUCACAGACAACUGUCGGGAACAUGGACAGGACCUAACUCUGUCUAGAGAUGGGGAGGAAGGCAAUGAGUGACUUUGUUUUUUGGCUAUAUAUAUGUGUGGGUGGUGCAUGUGUGUACAUAUAUACAUAUGAGUGUUUUCAUGUAUGUAUGUGGGUGAGUGCACAGAUGUAUGCAUGUGCUUGUGUGUGUGUGUCAAGACCGGGGGUUGGUUUCACGUGUCUCCCUCCACCACUCUUUACAUAUGUACUGAGUCACCGAAUCUGGAAUCUGCUCGACAGAUUGCUCUGGGGACCUCUGACCCUGCCUCCUGAGUCCUGGGAUUACCGACAGCUCUGGUCCUCAUGCUUUCCAGCCCUCUUCCUCAGAAGAGCCUUUAGUACCCUGCUAAGCUUCAGAAGGCCAUGUGGUACCAAGGCUAUCUGCUUUUCUACAGUGUGGAGAUGCUGUAACAAGGAGUUGC